AAUGAACGUUGGCGGCGUGGAUUAGGCAUGCAAGUCGAGCGUGCCCCGCAAGGGGCAAGCGGCAAACGGGGUAGUAAGGCGUCGGUACGUGCCUCCUGGACGGGGACAGCCACGGGAAACUGUGGGUAAUACCCGAUGAUGUCGUGAGACCAAAGGUGUGAUUCCGCCGGGAGAGCGGCCGACGUGGUAUUAGGUAGUUGGCAGGGUAAUGGCCUACCAAGCCUGGGAUGCCUAGGGGGUGUGAGAGCAUGGCCCCCACCAUUGGGACUGAGACACUGCCCAGACACCUACGGGUGGCUGCAGUCGAGAAUCUUCGGCAAUGGGCGCAAGCCUGACCGAGCGACGCCGCGUGCGGGAUGAAGGCCCUCGGGUUGUAAACCGCUGUCAGGGGGGAUGAAAUGCAUCGGGGUUCUCCCCGGUGUUUGACAGAGCCCCAGAGGAAGCGCGGGCUAAGUUCGUGCCAGCAGCCGCGGUAACAC
rnacentral:rRNA from 1 species